GACGAACGCUGGCGGCGUGCUUAACACAUGCAAGUCGAACGGAAAGGCCCCUUUGGGGGUCCUCGAGUGGCGGACGGGUGGGUAAGACGCGCGUAACCUACCCUUGAUUUAGGGUUAACUUACGGAAACAGGGGCGAAUACCGGAUAGGAAUCCUUGCCGCCUGGAGGGGGUGGGAAGGAUUUGGCGGGUUGGGAGGGACGGGCGGCGUAACAGCUUGGUUGUGGGGUGGUGGGUUACCUAGGACUUUAUGGGCAGCCGGCCUGGGAGGGGGGGCGGCCACCAUUGGGAUUGGGUUCGGGCCAGGCCCCCUCGGGGAGCAAGCGGUGGGAAUAUUGCACAAUGGGCGGAAGCCUGAUGCAGCAACGCCGCGGUCGGGAUGACGGGCUUCGGGUUGUAAACCGCUUUCAGCAGGGGCGAAGCUUGUGGUGACGGUACCGGCAGAAGAAGCACCGGCUAACUACGUG
rnacentral:rRNA from 1 species